ACACCUCAACUCUUCAUGGUUUUCCAUGAUGAGCUUGGACUUUGGGGGACUUGCUGGCCUACAGUCAGCUCCUCUAAAAUAAAUCAGCUUGCCAGUGUUUGGUGGGUAUCGCAGGUGUGAUAACUAUCUACGCUUGUGGUUUUCCACCAAGUAACCUUCAGCAGUGGAGGUUCACUGGAGCUCACAGACGUCUCUCCUCAGUGAGGGACAGCCCUUUGAAU
rnacentral:misc_RNA from 1 species